AAGAUAAACACCAUUUAUUAUAUGGUACCUCUGACACACCUUAGUCAAUUAAUGUCUACCACCUAAUCGAAUGAACGUAUUCACAGCCAUUUCUUGCUCUCAGAUUUUAUGAUGGCUUCCACAGGAGGUCAUAAGCUUGUUUUUAAUACAGAUCCGAAUCCCAUAGUGCUGUUUCGCCAAUGGAAACUCGAAACAACUGGAAGUGUUGCUGCAACGUGUAUAUUGAUAGCAAUAUGGGCACUUCUGUAUGAGGGUGUAAAGUUCUUCAGAAAUACCCUUAAUCGAUGAUCCCAAUGCAAAGAUAAGAACCUCGCCGUUUUCCUGGGGGUCAUUUCCUACAAACCAUCCUACAUCUUCUCCAACUCCUGGGCGGCUACAUUCUAAUGCUUGUUGCCAUGACGAUGAAUGUCUGGCUGUUUUUGUCCAUUCUUUUGGGACUGGGUUUGGGUUACUUCGUAUAUGGCUGGGCAAAAUACAGCUGAUGCCUAAUUCUUCUGGCACCCAGUCCAACGGGGUAGCAAGAGUUGGGCGUAAACCAAUGUUGGGACUGCUGACAGCCACUGAGGGAAAAACUCCGAACCAUUACGAACUGGAACCUUUGCGCGAAAACCACUACGUUAAACCACAAACGCAAGCAACAACAGAAAAUGGAAUUGUUGUCAUGAAUGUGACGUCAAUCUAAACAGCCCCUCAAUCUUGUCAUCCCAGUUGUUUAAAAGUGUAUUAAGACAGAUUUAUCCAUCAACAAACAUGUCAUUUUAGGAUUACCGCUGCAGGGUGACAGGUUAAUGUUAUAAUAAACGAGAGGAAAACCCGUCACUGACAAUUACAGACUUUGGCAGACGACAGUGAGUGUAAAGAUUGCAUUAUUUCUUAAAUACAAAAGUAUGUCUUAAAGCGGCAUUAUAUGUAGUUUACAGCUUUUUGAAAAACUGGGACAUACGGUAAUACAUUGUCACCAAAACGAAACCUUUGCCCUGUCAUUUGCUGAUAGUGCAGCGGACUGAGCCUAUGCUGCUGGAGUAGCUUUUUUUCACACUUUUUUGUGUCCAGUAAAUUUUCAAGAUGUUCUAUGUUAGUGCGGUUCUCAUACUAAAAUUUUCCUGAGAGUAUACCAAAAAGUGGGUAAGUGUCGAAUCCAUCAUCAGACAAACGUUUAAUAUCGUUACACGAAUUAAGUUAUGUAAAAUUCAUCUUUAUUUAUUUGUUACCAAACCAGCUGUUUCUAUAUACGUGCUGUUAUAUUAUUUUUUUCAAUACUUUGGUGAAAACAUAUCGUAUCAGCAUGUGUUUAUAAUGGCUCCAUGUUAUAUACUCUUUAAGUUAUUUACAUACAACAUAGUAGGACUGCAUGCUGUAUGUCAUGCAACAUAUAUGCAUUUGCAUUUGUCAUUUUUGCAAACUGUUUCUUUCAUAAAUUUAUUGCGAAGUAAAAUUGUGCAGUGUAACUGUUCAUGCAACUUAACUAUCAAAGCUUUUUGUUCUGUAUCAUUUUCCCCCCUACUUAAUAAAACAUAAACUAAGUAACAGCUCAUUUCACUUUAGUAAAAAGAGUUUAAUUGAUUUAUCUUAGUUUAUCAGUU